rnacentral:rRNA from 1 species
CCUACGGGGGGCUGCAGUGGGGAAUAUUGCACAAUGGGCGAAAGCCUGAUGCAGCAACGCCGCGUGAGCGAUGAAGGCCUUCGGGUCGUAAAGCUCUGUCCUCAAGGAAGUUAAUGACGGUACGUGAGGAGGAAGCUCCGGCUAACUACGUUCCAGCAGCCGCGGUAAUACGUCGGGGGCUAGGGUUAUCCGGAAUUACUGGGCGUAAGGGGUGCGUAGGUGGUUUCUUAAGUCAGAGGUGAAAGGCUACGGCUAAACCGUAGUAAGCCUUUGAAACUGGGGAACUUGAGUGCAGGAGAGGAGAGUGGAAUUCCUAGUGUAGCGGUGAAAUGCGUAGAUAUCAGGAGGAACACCGGUGGCGAAGGCGGCCUGCUGGACUGCAACUGACGUUGAGGCCCGAAAGCGUGGGGAGCAAACAGGAUUAGAUACCCCUGUAGUC